GAACGGUUACGGACUGGUCGGGCGAAAUGCUCUGUACCGUUUGUGCCGUUCUCCUUAUGGGAUACUCACCUCUGUCCUUAACUGGAUGGAGGUAAAAGAGGUGGUGAGCUCUUGGGGGAGAAAGGGGGGGAUCCGUCUUCUCCUUUCUUCUUCAAUCAUCAUCUUGGAGUUCCCAUUCGUUUACUUUGAAUAAAUUAGAGUGUUCAAAGCAGGCAAUCGAGCCUUGAAUACAUUAGCAUGGGAUAAUGGAAUAGGACAAGGAUCCUGAUUUCGUUGGUUUCUAGGAUCUUAGUA
rnacentral:rRNA from 1 species